rnacentral:rRNA from 1 species
GCUCCAAUAGCGUAUAUUAAUGUUUGUUGCAGUUAAAAAGCUCGUAGUUGGAUUUCUGGUCGGAGUGCUCGGCCAUCUCCGCAAGGGGUUGUGCAUGGGUCAUCUUCGGUCAUCCUCAGGGGAACUUGCAGUGGUAUUCAUUUAUCGUUGUGAGGACGCCUGUCGUUUACUGUGAACAAUUAGAGUGUUCAAGCAAGGUG